rnacentral:tRNA from 1 species
GGCCUUAUGGUCUAGUCGCAUGAUUCCUCGUUUGGGUCAAAAUUCGAGGAGGUCCUGGGUUCAAUUCCCAGUGAGGCCC